GCCUUGGUAGUGUAGUGGCCCAGCAUGGAAGCCUGUCGCGCUUCCGACCCGGGUUCGAAUCCCGGCCAAGGCG
rnacentral:tRNA from 1 species